rnacentral:snRNA from 1 species
GUUUGUGAGAGCGAUCUGGCUGUGACGUGUCUUCCAUUGAUCACCAGGGUUGAUUCAGCUGAUCUGGCUUGCUAGGCAGGUGUUCCCUUCCUCCCUCACCAUCCAUGUGUGACCCUCCAGAAGCUGCGAGCUCGGUUGAAGAGGAUGACCUUCCCCAAAUAAAGGAAGACCGGACUUCUGUCAAGGGUAUAAGAGAAGCUGUGCUUCCCUGCAAAGGAUGAAUAAGGGACAAUAUCAAAUAUGGAAAUUAUGGGCCACUUAAUUAUCUGAUCUUAGAUGUGACAAUAU